AAGCACCAUACGAUCACCGAAGUUAAGCCACGUGGAACCUGGUCAGUACCUAGAUGGGUGACCGCUUGGGAAUACCAGGUGCUGUAUG